rnacentral:lncRNA from 1 species
UUUUAUCUGGGACCAAUUGAACAUACGUUGUUAUUAUUUUCUACGACACCUUGAACUCUUGUCCUUUCUCUUUCAGGAUCCUCCAUCAUUUUGUCUCACCAGGCUUAAUGCUGGGCAUUUCUUCAGACUAAUUGUUUGUUUAUAGAAUUCUCCAUCCAGAGUACAUUGAUAGACAUCAUUCCUUUCAAAGAGGACCUAGAUACCUGGGUGUUUCCCAAGGAAGUAUGAAAGCUGAUAUAAACAUGGCAUUUCUGGCAUUCAUCUUCAUGAAUCCAUGAACAAGAAGGAGAAGCAGCAAUGGAUGAUACUUAUGUACAACCCCAAAUAAGAUAGUGUUAAAAAUAAAUUCAAGAGUUAUCUGCCUCGGUCACCUAAGGUAGGUUCAGAGAAAUGAUGUAAAGGGAUAAGAGUAGAGGAUGGCUAAAAGCAAAGGUGAAAACUGCACCCAAGGCGAUGGAGCAACUUUCCACUGGAUGUCUCAGCUUGGCUCAAGAUGAGUGCGGGAGAUGGAGGUCGAGUCUCUGGAGACUUUAUCUGAGGGGCAAGCAGGGUCUUCAUGAGUCAUUCUGCUGUACCCUACUCUGUGUGGUAUGAGUUGGAGCCAGAAGAAAUGGAACAUCUAAAG